rnacentral:rRNA from 1 species
ACGUACGCUGGCGGCACGCCUAACACAUGCAAGUCGAACGAAGUAGCAAUACUUAGUGGCAGACGGGUGAGUAACAUGUAGGUAUCUGCCCUUUGGCCUGGAAUAACACGAGGAAACUUGUGCUAAUACCGGAUAAGUCUUUACGGAGAAAGCUUUAUGCACCAUUGGAUGAGCCUGCACUUGAUUAGUUUGUUGGUAGGGUAAUGGCCUACCAAGACUAUGAUCAAUAGCUGAUUUGAGAGGAUGAUCAGCCACAUUGGGACUGAGACACGGCCCAAACUCCUACGGGAGGCAGCAGUGGGGAAUCUUGCACAAUGGAGGAAACUCUGAUGCAGCGAUGCCGCGUGAGUGAAGAAGGCCCUUGGGUUGUAAAGCUCUUUCGUCGGGGAAGAAAGUGACUGUACCCGAAUAAGAAGGUCCGGCUAACUUCGUGCCAGCAGCCGCGGUAAUACGAAGGGACCUAGCGUAGUUCGGAAUUACUGGGCUUAAAGAGUUCGUAGGUGGUUGAAAAAGUUGGUGGUGAAAUCCCAGAGCUUAACUCUGGAACUGCCAUCAAAACUUUUCAGCUAGAGUUUGAUAGAGGAAAGCAGAAUUUCUAGUGUAGAGGUGAAAUUCGUAGAUAUUAGAAAGAAUAUCAAUUGUGAAGGCAGCUUUCUGGAUCAUUACUGACACUGAGGAACGAAAGCAUGGGUAGCGAAGAGGAUUAGAUACCCUCGUAGUCCAUGCCGUAAACGAUGUGUGUUAGACGUUGGAAAUUUAUUUUCAGUGUCGCAGCAAAAGCGAUAAACACACCGCCUGGGGAGUACGACCGCAAGGUUAAAACUCAAAUGAAUUGACGGGGACCCGCACAAGUAGUGGAGCAUGUGGUUUAAUUCGAAGAUACGCGCAGAACCUUACCAACACUUGACAUGUUCGUCGCGACUCUAAGAGAUUAGAGUUUUCGGUUCGGCCGGACGAAACACAGGUGCUGCAUGGCUGUCGUCAGCUCGUGUCGUGAGAUGUUGGGUUAAGUCCCGCAACGAGCGCAACCCUCACUUUUAGUUGCCAUCAUUAAGUUGGGCACUCUGAAAGAACUGCCAGUGAUAAGCUGGAGGAAGGUGGGGAUGACGUCAAGUCCUCAUGGCCCUUACGUGUUGGGCUACACACGUGCUACAAUGGUAUCUACAACAGGAAGCAAGACGGCGACGUCAAGCAAAUCCUUAAAAGAUACCUCAGUUCGGAUUGCACUCUGCAACUCGAGUGCAUGAAGCUGGAAUUACUAGUAAUCGUGGAUCAGCGUGCCACGGUGAAUGCGUUCCCGGGUCUUGCACACACCGCC